rnacentral:rRNA from 1 species
AGUAACUGCGAGUGAAGCGGGAAAAGCUCAAAUUUAAAAUCUGGCGGACUUUGUCUGUCUGAGUUGUAACCUAGAGAAGUGUAACCUGUGCUGGACCAUGUACAAGUCUCCUGGAAUGGAGCAUCAUAGAGGGUGAGAAUCCCGUCUUUGACAUGGACUACCAGUAUACUGUGGUUGCACACUCAACGAGUCGAGUUGUUUGGGAAUGCAGCUCUAAAUGGGUGGUAAAUUCCAUCUAAAGCUAAAUAUUGGCGAGAGACCGAUAGUGAACAAGUACCGUGAGGGAAAGAUGAAAAGAACUUUGGAAAGAGAGUUAAACAGUAUGUGAAAUUGUUGAAAGGGAAACGCUUGAAGUCAGCUGCGUUGGCUGGGGAUCAAGCCAGCUUAUUUGCUGGGUGUAUUUCCUGGUUGACGGGUCAACAUCAGUUUUGACCAUCAGAGAAAGGCAGAGGGAAUGUGGCACCUUUUAGGUGUGUUAUAGCCCUUUGUUGUAUGUGGUGGUUGGGACUGAGGACAGCAGCGUGCCAUAUGGCUGGGUUUAGACCACGUUCACGCUUUGGAUGUUGGCAUAAUGGCUUUAAGCGACCCGUCUUGAAACACGGACCAAGGAGUCUAACAUGCAUGCAAGUGUUUGGGUGGAAAACCCGAGUGCGUAAUGAAAGUGAAAGUUGAGAUCCCUGUCACGGGGGAGCAUCGACGCCCGGACCAGAACUUUUGGGACGGAUCUGCGGUAGAGCAAGCAUGUUGGGACCCGAAAGAUGGUGAACUAUGCCUGAAUAGGGUGAAGCCAGAGGAAACUCUGGUGGAGGCUCGUAGCGAUUCUGACGUGCAAAUCGAUCGUCGAAUUUGGGUAU